rnacentral:rRNA from 1 species
UACGUAGGGUGCGAGCGUUGUCCGGAAUUAUUGGGCGUAAAGAGCUCGUAGGCGGUGUGUCACGUCGAUCGUGAAAACUUACAGCUUAACUGUGAGCGUGCGGUCGAUACGGGCAUCACUGGAGUUCGGCAGGGGAGACUGGAAUUCCUGGUGUAGCGGUGAAAUGCGCAGAUAUCAGGAGGAACACCGAUGGCGAAGGCAGGUCUCUGGGCCACUACUGACGCUGAGAAGCGAAAGCAUGGGGAGUGAACGGG